rnacentral:rRNA from 1 species
AUGGUUUAUUCAGCAGCGGCGACAGUGGUGUUUUUCUCGCAUGGCUCUGAGGAGGCGUUGUUGCUCUGUUGUGCUUGCUGCAUGAGCUGCUCGAGCCUGGCCUCCAGCUCGGCCUUCUCGGCGCUGAGCCGGUCGUUGUCGCGGCGGACGUCGCCGCAGCUCCUCAUUGCGCGGUUGAGCUCGUCGAGGAGGCGGCGGUUGGCGCCGCGGAGGUGCGCCACCCGCGCCCACAGCUCGCUGAGCUGCCGCUGCUUGCGCAUGCGCGACCGCCUCGCCGACUCGCGGUUGGACACCAUCCUCCGCCGCCUCCGCUCCUCCUCCGCCGCCGAAGCCAGCACCUGGCCAUGGAUGUCAUCACCAGCCCCGCCGGAGCCGGGCGGGCUGUUAUUGCCGAUGGCAGCCAGCGCUUCCUGCAGCAUAGGCUCGUCCUCAUACUCGUAG